UCUGCAUCUAUAACUGGCAUGUCUUCUUUGGACGGUCAACUGCUUCCUCCCCACAUUGAAAUCUCGACCCCUUUCUUGUUGAUGGACUCGUUAACUGAUUCGUAUGUGCGUGGAUGCAGGGUGCAGGUGCUCUACUAUGCGCUACUCCGGACGUGUCACCUGGACAGAUGUUCUGCUUGUUUUUGAGCUACUGCCACUUGUUUUUGUUGGUAAUCUGAGCACUUGUUAGUUUAGUCAGGUAGGAGAUUAGAGUGAAAUGAUCCUGUAGGAGGUCCUGGACGAUGAUGUGCAAAUAAUUAUU
rnacentral:lncRNA from 1 species